rnacentral:rRNA from 1 species
GUUGGUGGGGUAACGGCCUACCAAGGCGACGAUCAGUAGCCGACCUGAGAGGGUGAUCGGCCACAUUGGAACUGAGACACGGUCCAAACUCCUACGGGAGGCAGCAUG